rnacentral:misc_RNA from 1 species
GAUGAAGAACGUAGUGAAAUGCGAUAAGUAAUGUGAAUUGCAGAAUUCAGUGAAUCAUCGAAUCUUUGAACGCACAUUGCGCCCCUUGGUAUUCCGAGGGGCAUGCCUGUUCGAGCGUCAUUACACCACUCAAGCCAUGCUUGGUAUUGGGCGUCGUCCUUAGUUGGGCGCGCCUUAAAGACCUCGGCGAGGCCACUCCGGCUUUAGGCGUAGUAGAAUUUAUUCGAACGUCUGUCAAAGGAGAGGAACUCUGCCGACUGAAACCUUUAUUUUUCUAGGUUGACCUCGGAUCAGGUAGGGAUACCCGCUGAACUUAAGCAUAUCAAUAAGCGGAGGA